GGGGUUGUGGCUCAGUGAUAGAGCGCUUGCUUCACACGCGUGAGGCACUGGGUUCAAUCCUCAGCACCA
rnacentral:tRNA from 1 species